rnacentral:sRNA from 1 species
UCAAAAAGCGCUAUCGCCCGGUCGCUGAGCGGGGUCAUCAGCCACCAGGGGAGGCCAAUCAAAAUAACCGUGAGCGACCCAACCACAAUAUCGGGUGAC